rnacentral:rRNA from 1 species
UCAAGAAACUUCCACAAUGGACGAAAGUCUGAUGGAGCGACGCCGCGUGGUUGAUGAAGUCCUUCGGGACGUAAAAACCUUUUAUGGAGGAGGAAGUAAUUGACGUUACUCCAUGAAUAAGGGGCUCCUAACUCUGUGCCAGCAGGAGCGGUAAUACAGAGGCCCCAAGCGUUAUCCGGAAUCACUGGGCGUAAAGGGUGUGUAGGCGGUUGUGUUAGUCUCUUGUAAAAGCUCUCGGGCUUAACCCGGGAAAUGCAAGGGAAACGGCACAACUCAGAGGAUGUGAGAGGUACAGGGAACUCAUGGUGUAGGGGUAAAAUCCGUUGAUAUCAUGGGGAACACCAAAUGCGAAGGCACUGUACUGGCACACUCCUGACGCUGAGACACGAAAGCGUGGGAAUCGAACGGGAUUAGAUACCCCGGUAGUCC